rnacentral:rRNA from 1 species
UAGGGAAUCUUCGGCAAUGGACGGAAGUCUGACCGAGCAACGCCGCGUGAGUGAAGAAGGUUUUCGGAUCGUAAAGCUCUGUUGUUAGAGAAGAACGUUGGUAGGAGUGGAAAAUCUACCAAGUGACGGUAACUAACCAGAAAGGGACGGCUAACUACGUGCCAGCAGCCGCGGUAAUACGUAGGUCCCGAGCGUUGUCCGGAUUUAUUGGGCGUAAAGCGAGCGCAGGCGGUUCUUUAAGUCUGAAGUUAAAGGCAGUGGCUUAACCAUUGUACGCUUUGGAAACUGGAGUACUUGAGUGCAGAAGGGUAGAGUGAAUUCCAUGUGUAGCGGUGAAAUGCGUAGAUAUAUGGAGGAACACCGGUGGCGAAAGCGGCUCUCUGGUCUGUAACUGACGCUGAGGCUCGAAAGCGUGGGGAGCAAACAGG